rnacentral:lncRNA from 1 species
CACUUUUAGCAUUAAGAGCGAUUAUCUUAGAACAAUAUGUCCAUGAUCAUUCUUAUCAUUUUGGAUUGUAGGGUUGCACUGCAGUCAUAUCAUUUGAAAGAUGAAGUUGAUUUUCCUCCUCUGUCCUACAGAAAAGCGCUCAAAACAUGUUAGUAUUAUAGAAUAUGGUAAGCAGAACUUUUAGAUACUAACAACUAUGCAGGUUUAGAAGGACUUGCCUUUUGUUUUCUUCUCAUUUUGCUCGGAGCUUGAUGUGGUCCUGACAUAGAGAAGCACAUUUGUAAAUUCCUCUGGUCCAUCUUCCUCCUUUACAGUAGGAUAUGAGUGCAAGUUUGACAGCAAUCCUAAGCCUCUGGGGACUUUUUAAUUGAGACAAUUUAAUUUCUUUUUUUGAACACCAUUGUCCCUGUGGGGACAUAGCUUUAUUUCUUAAAUUGAAUAGUAGAAAUUCCAGAUAAAUUUAGUUUUUAUUCCUAAAAAAAGGAAAAAAAUGGGGAAAAUUUUAAAAGUUUAAAAUUAUACCAUAGUCCUUAAUGUUUACAUCUUAUUGCCUUUGCCGCACAAACAAUAAUUAAAUUAUGAAUUAACACAGAAAGUACGUAAAAUAGAUAGCAAUUUAAAUUUCAUUCAAGUGUUUGGUUGACAUAAUAAUGGAAAAAAUAAUAAUAAUAUUGAAGUAGAAAGAGAAAAGAAUACAAAGGCACAUACAUCUAAUAGGGAUUCAGAGGGAGGGUAAGAAUUCCUGUGACAGAACUUAUUACUUAUUCCACAGCAUAAUGGCUAUUGAUAGACACAAAAGGGUUAUGCUCACAUCAUGCAGGAUUGCAUUUGUAAUUAUGUUUGGGAGCAAUCUAUAAUUAUGUAAAUAAACCAAGUGUAUAAAAUCUUUAAUCUGCUAAUUGAUUUAUUAUGUAUUCGAUCUCAAUAUAAAAAUUAGCAUUAAGGCUGAAAAGUUUAUCUAAAUUUGCAAGUUGUCAUCGAAAAAAAUAAAUUAUAUAAUCAAAAGCUAUAGCAUUAUGCUUCAAUUGCAGAUUAUGGAAAAUAUUUUACAAAUUUUCCGGAAAAAGAAAAUCAUAGGAGGAAGAGAAAGCUUUUUAUAACUACAAUUACACACACAAAAAAAAAAAAAAAAAUCAUAAAGCUAGAAUGCAUGAAUUUUUUUAUCAACCUUCUUCCAAAAUCAUUUUAAAAAAAUAUUCGUAUAUUAAUAUUUUAAAAAUAACAAAUUAAAGAAAAAAUUUCUAUAAAUCCAAGAAAAACUAUCCUGAUUUAGAAACACGGUCACAAAAGGAUUCAAAAGAUGAUAAAUAGAUGAAAAAUUAGAAAAAAAAUUUAAGAAAAUAGAAAUAAGAUCAACACAAAUUGAUGAAAACAACAAACUGUACUGGAAUUUUACCAAUCUUGCUUGUCUUCUCUAUUUUAUCAAUCAACUGCGACUUGUACACAAAUGGCCUUGCGUGCGUCCUUCCUCGUCUCGAUUUGGCACCGCAUGAGUCCCUGACCAUCUGGAUUCAGCAAGAAUAGCUAGAGAAAAAAUAAAAAGAACAAGAGGGAGACAGAGAGCGAGAAAGAGAGAAAGAAUCAUGAAAAAGAUAAAAGAGAGAGAUGAGAGAAGAAGACGAAUAAAAG